GUUGUGCCUUUCUCCCCCCCCCCCCCCGCUCAGGUCCUGAAAGGCUUCCCUGAGUGUCUGCAGGCGGACAUCUGUCUGCACCUGAACCGCUCCCUGCUGCAGAACUGCAAGGCCUUCCGCAGCGCCAGCAAGGCGUGCCUGCGAGCCCUAGCCACGCGCUUCAAGACCAUACACUCGCCGCCUGGCGACACACUCUAUCACCACGGCGACGUGCUCGUCUCCCUCUACUUCAUCGCCCGCGGCUCCAUCCAGGUGUCGCGCCCCGGCAAGGUGCUCGCCGUGCUGGGUAAGAAUGACACGUUUGGGGAGCCCAUCAACCUGUAUGCUGCGGAGAUGGGCAGGAGUAACGCCGAUGUGAUGUCCCUCACCUACUGCGACCUGCACCACAUCCAGAGGGAGGACCUGCUGGAGGUGCUGGACAUGUACCCAGCCUUCGCAGACAGCUUCUGGAGGAACCUGGAGAUCACCUUCAUCCUGAGAGAUGCAAGUCACACACACGCACACACACACACGCACGCACGCACGCACGCACACACGCACACACACACACACACACGCUUCAGUCACACACACACACACACACACACACACACACACACACACACACACACACACACACACAGACACAGACACACACACACACACACACACGCACGCUUCAGUCACACAUUGUAGACACGCAUGCAGUUUUGACCACAGAGCUUAUAAUCACAUAAGUGGGACAGAUCGCAACCUUGCAGGUGAACACACACGCACACACACACGCAAACACACACACACGUGCACGCACACACACGCACGCAAACACACACACAUGCACACGCACACACACACGCAAACACACACACACGCACACACACACACACACGCACACACAUUAUGACUGACUGAUCUCUAAUGUGUAUUCAGGUGGAACAGGUGAUCCAGAUGCUGCCUGGUGAGGACUCAGAUGGUGGUAACCGUGGUCACCGGGCCAGGCACCGCAGAAACUCAAUGGACCGACGGAACAGGCCAGAUGGCAUGGACCAGGAUGACUCCCACCCCCCCACGCAGACAUGUCCCCCCACCAGGCGCCCCCAUUGCCCCUCGGCGGCGCCCCCUCUCUGGGACGAGCUGUGCAGCUGUGGGACGUCCUGCUCCCAGUCUCCGUCCAGCGAGAACUACCCCCCCGAGGAGGAGCUCCUGGCCUUCCCCCCCACAGUGGUGCGAUUCCUGGACCCAGGAGGGGGCGCCUCGGUGGGCAUCGAGAGUGGCAUGGACCGGGGGCACCCAGGUAGAGGGGGCGCCGCGGUGGGCAUCGAGAGUGGCAUGGACCGGGGGCACCCAGGUAGAGGGGGCGCCGCAGUGGGCAUCGAGAGUGGCAUGGACCGGGGGCACCCAGCGGUUCCGGGGCUGUACCAGCUCUGGCCCGAUCGCUCGGCCCAGUUCCCCCAGCACCACUGGAGGUCCUCGUCAGUGCGGGCCGCCCCUCCCCCUCAGUCCUCACGCCACCGGCCCAGCGAACUACACGCCCGACUCGACUACUGCAGAGCCAGCUCAACAGGUGUGUGUGUGUGUGUGUGUGUGUGUGUGUGAAUGAACAGGUGUGUAUGAACAGGUGUAUCUGUACUGAAUGAUUGUGUCUCGUAUGUUGGUUGGUGUGUGAGGUGAGUGUGAACAGGUGUGUGAGGUGUGUGUGAACAGGUGUGUGUGAACAGGUGUAUCUGUACUGAAUGAUUUGUGUCUCGUAUGUUGGUUGGUGUGUGAACAGGUGUGUGAGGU
rnacentral:lncRNA from 1 species